AGGAGGGCUAGAAUCACAGCAAGUGCAUGUGACUGGGUGACAGCUGCUGAGGCAGAGCCAGCACGUGCCUUGGAACUCCAGUUUCCAAAUGACAACAGGAAGAAUCUCUGCUGUUAUACAAAUGUCCAGAGUGACAUUCUCAGAAGUCAUUGACUAUAUCAUGGCAGGACCAGAAAUGCUGACAAUAGACCAAGUCAAAGAAUUUGGCAAGCAUAGGCUGAAAAGGAUCCACUAUCUCUACCCUAAACAUAAACAGGUACCAUAACCUUGAAAAAGCCUA